AGUGAACGCUGGCGGUAGGCCUAACACAUGCAAGUCGAACGGCAGCACAGUAAGAGCUUGCUCUUACGGGUGGCGAGUGGCGGACGGGUGAGGAAUACAUCGGAAUCUACUUUUUCGGGGGGGAUAACGUAGGGAAACUUACGCUAAUACCGCAUACGACCUACGGGUGAAAGCAUGGGAUCUUCGGACCUUGCGCGAUUGAAUGAGCCGAUGUCGGAUUAGCUAGUUGGCGGGGUAAAGGCCCACCAAGGCGACGAUCCGUAGCUGGUCUGAGAGGAUGGUCAGCCACCUGGGAACGGAGACACGGUCCAGACUCCUACGGGAGGCAGCAGUGGGGAAUAGUGGACAAUGGGCGCAAGCCUGAUCCAGCCAUACCGCGUGGGUGAAGAAGGCCUUCGGGUUGUAAAGCCCUUUUGUUGGGAAAGAAAAGCAGCAGGUUAAGACCCCGCUGUUCUGACGGUACCCAAAGAAUAAGCACCGGCUAACUUCGUG
rnacentral:rRNA from 1 species